GCACUCCUUGCCCAUGGGCAAAUCGAGCAGAGGUCACGAUAAUAGUGGCCCAAUAGUGCUCUUUGCCCAUGGUUAAGUCGAGCAGAAGCCACGAUAAUAGCGGCCCAAUGGCACUCCUUGCCCAUGGAUAAGUCAAGCAGAGGCUAUGGCGACAGUGAUCCAAUGGUACUCCUUGCCCACUGACAAGUCGAGCGAAGCCAACGAACUCUAAGUCAUGUGGACUGAAGACCUCGGUUACUAAGAAGUAGGGGCUAACCUACAAGGACUCUCGAAGGUCCCUCUCUUUUCAGCGAAC
rnacentral:lncRNA from 1 species